rnacentral:lncRNA from 1 species
AUCCGUGUCACCGUCUUUUCGCCAAGGUUUUUAAGCCAGGAGAUGUUUUUGUAUUCCCAUUUGGGCUCAUUCACUUCCAAAUGAAUAUUGGGAAAACCCCUGCAGUUGCUAUAGCUGCAUUGAACAGUCAGAAUCCAGGAGAAAUGACCUUGGCAAAUGCAGUAUUUGGUGCAGUUCCAUCUGUUAAUCCUGAUCUUCUUGCAAGAGCAUUCCAUACGGACAGGAAUAUAGUGAAUGAUCUUAUUAAGCAAGAAUGGGUCAACCCAUCUGAGCUUAGUGACAUUAUACAAGGAAAUAUGGAUUUCUAUCCUCAUCCAACUUGUUAAUUUAAGUUCUGGGAAAUGCAAAUAAGAAGAAGAGGAUGUGUAUUUAUAUAUAUGCAUAUCAUAUAUGCUUCAUGUUAUUGUAAUCAUUCAAUAAGUGUGAGGAUACUACCUCUAUGAUUACAAGGGCGGAGCAUGGAGAGACUCAGCCUCAGCAAUAAUUAUUUUUGUUCAAAAAAUUUACUUAAUAAAAAUAGUGCAUUUUAUUUUGUUUUUACUUGAUUUUGGAGUCUGGCUAAUCUUCUGAUUAUUAGCAGAAUUAAAUAUAUAUUGGAAUUACUAAUAAGGUAUUGGUUGAAUUGGUUAGCGACUUUAAUUCCGAUAAGGGUGGAAAUACAAGUUUGAUCCACGGAAAAUACAUUUUACUAGGAGAUCAAAAACCUUUUACAUUUUACAGCUGAAGGGGAUUAAACCUCUUGGUUAUACAAUAUUUAUUAUAUACUACAAUUAAUUAAUAUGAUAAAAUUAAAUCUCUUGUUUAGAUAUAAUAGCAAAAUAAAAGAGCGGAAUCCUCUCUUUAUUUUCCGUGAGUCUAUUUUUUAUUUUCUCCAAAUUAGACUAUUUAAAUUAGGUUGAUUCAAGAAAAAGCAAUAAAUUGUUAUUUUUGGUCCUUUCUUAUUUUUUCAAUUUCCUAAAUUAAAAAAAUUAAACAUAUAUAUUGGGAAUUUGUUUAGAAAAACUUGUAAUCGGAUAGAUGUAGAGGUCAAAUAAAACUGCAUGGAAUGGAAAAUUUUGCUCUGCUGUUUGCGGGAAUUAAGAAAGUUGUCGUUUGUAUAUUAUAGCUUGCGAAUCGGGGCUUCUAAUUAAGCUAAUUAAUUAAUAUUAAGUAAGAGCAAACUGACGUGAUCGAAUAGAUUCCGGUCUCCAAUUGAUCUUGCGUACUUGGAUUUAGUCUUAAAAUUCUAUAUAAUAUCACACAGUAUUCAAUUUCUUUUAGUCACAUGUGAUCUAAAUAAAAAUAAUAAUGUUUGAAAUAUUGUGCAAUUUACAUGGAUUUGUCUCUAUAAAUUAUAAUAUUUUGUUUAAUGUUAAAAUUUAUUUUUAAUAACUUGAGAGUUGAAAUGGGAUUGUAUUGAUAUUUUCUCUCUAAAAAUCAAUGAUCUUCAACUCGAACUCUGAAUUUAAAGUCAUUUUAAACAUCAGAAAGUAACUGCUUUGCUUCUUUUUAUGAACUUACUUGAUAAUUAAACAUUUCAAAACUUUUAAGUUUCAACAUUUUCAUAAGUUGGAUUGAAUCAUGGAUUUACUAGGUAAAUCUAUAGAUUUGACUAAAUGCCUUAACUUAUAUAUGUGUAUGUGUUAUAUUAAUUUAAUUUGAUUUAUAAUUUUAAAUAUAAAUACUAAAUUAUUUAUAUAUUUGGUAAUUCUUGCCUUUUUUAAUGCUCAUUCUUUCUUUAGCAUAAACUUGUUUUAAAAUGUUGCUAUUGUAACAUAUUUUAGUUUAAACUUAUUGUAUAUAUAAUUAUUUUAAUUUUGUUGGUUGUUUUUCUUAUUAGAAAAUUAAUUAAGUUAUAUGAUUAUCAUUAUUUAUUAUUACAAAAUUUAUUCUGAAAAUUUUGUUAGAAUAUAUUGUGGUUCAUAUAAAUUGUUGUAUAAUUAUGUUUUUAAGUAUAUUUAAUUUGUUGGUUAUUUCUCUUAAUAAAAUACUUAUAUUUUAUUUAAAACUGUUUUUCUUAUUUAUUUGAUCUACAGGUUUAUAUUGGACUCAUACCCAACUCAAUCUAUUUAUAACUCAUGGAUUCACGCAUUUGAUGGAUUGAAUUGGGUUAAAAAAAUCAUUAACCUAUACAUAUGGAUUUAGUACCUAAAUUUGAUCCACGUAAGGGUAUCAAAAUGAAUUAGCAUGUCAGGUUCGACAAUAAUCCUCCUAAUACGCAACACAAUUAGAGUUAAGUGUCAACACAAAUGCAAUCUAUUUAAUAAUUAUGUCAAAUAUUUAAAAAUGAAUAUGCCAUGAAAAGUAAAUAGUGAUGCAAAUAUAAUAUAUGUAACUCGUUUAAUAAAAUGGUUCAUAUAUGAGUCAAAUAAUUCAACCAAAUUUAGUUAAAUAGGUCGUAUACAGGUUAGAAACAAGACAGACAUAACCCGAUUAAUAUAUAUAUUGUAUAUGAAAUUAUUUUUUUUAUUUUUAAGUAAAUAAAUUAAACGAGUCAACUCAUGACAUGACUCAUUUAAAUUUAUAUUAUGUAUGAAUUACUGGUUUGUGAAAUCAACCUUUUUAAAUAUAACCCUAAUUUGUUUAAUUCUCGUGUCAUCAACAAUAUUGACAUCCAUGCACCCACGUAUUCCCUCGGGGAGGCGGGAAUAUUUUAACAUCUUGUAGGAAUAUUUUCUAAAAACGUGAAAUGUGAGUGAUAAUUGGAGACGUUAAAUGAAAACGUCCUAAAGUUAUAUUCUCUUAAAUCAUUAGAACGUGGCGAGCAUGUGGGAAUGGGCCGGGGAGCUUUUAUGCAUUCCAGAGCCAUUUGUUUCUAAGAAAUGACUUUUGAUUUGUAGCUAAAAAAAUCGUUUCUAAUUUUCAUUUUUCAUGUAGUGAAACUUGAUUCCUCUGUUGAUUAAUUUCCAUAAUUUUUUAGGGUGUUAUUUAUUUUCUGUUCAACACAUACGUAUUUAAACGGGUUUAGAUAAUUCUAAUCAGAUCCAAAAAGGAUUCGAGUAAUGUAAAUUUAUUUAAGCUUGGGUACUUUAUUUUAUAAACGAAUUAGGGUCGAAUAAGGCAAUUUUUGCAGGCAGCCGACCUAUUGUGUACCCCAAUUCCAAGCAUUUCAUGAAAAUGUGGGUACCUACUAUGCCACUAAUAUAGUUCCUUAUCCAUGGAGUGUGGGCAGCACACAUGGUGGUAGAUGGGAGAGGCAAGUCCAACAACUCCAAUUAAUUGUGGGACGCCUUUUGUAACCCUAACUCAUGAAUUGGAUUUUGAAUAAGUAAUUUCGAAACCCUUAAAAUUCAAUUUAAAGUUCGAAUUCAGAUACUUGGAUGUCUAAAAAAUAAUAAAUUUUUUUAUAUCUGAAUGAUUUUGAAUUUAGAUGGAAGGUGACAAAUAUUAAAAUAAAUUGAGUAUUUUUGUCAAAGAUAUGAUUUAUUAGUGAAAAUUUUUAUGAUCAGGUAUGACUUGAGUUCAGUUAGUUUAAUGAAACGAGUUGAUUUUAUUGAUUGAUUAGUAAUGGUCGAUAUAAAUGUGAUUUCGAGAGUUGUUAAUUAUGUACUCAUAAUAGUAUAAAUUGAUUUGAUAGAGAAGAUGAUAAUUGACCUUGGAGACAUAAAGAUGGGUUGGGGAAUGGGAUGUCUGUUGUGCAUCUUUUUUCUGGUUGAUAUGCUUGUUGAGUUUGUGGAGCCUAUUGAAGAUUGUGUUGUAUAUUAUUUAUCUUUUUGUCUGUAGGUAUAAAAUUAUAAUAGAAAAUUCUACUGAAAUUUUGGGUAUAAUUGUCUUAACUAUCACAAAUUAAAGUUCAAAACUUCAACUUUAUUUUUUCUUUACACAUGUAAGUGAUAAGCAUUAUCCAAUCUUUACCUGUAUUAUUAUGUUGGAGGAUCCCAUCCUUGUACUUGUUCAGGACAGGAUUAGGGUAUGAUUGUGGAAUCACUUAUUAGGGCAAAAGAAUUAUAAUGUUUCGUAAUGUUAUUGCAAAAUGGAGGUCGGUGAAUGAUCGUGUAGUCUCUUUAGGUUACACUAUUUAAAUAUAGCAUAGUUAAUUAGCUGGACAUAAUCUAUCCAAGCUACCAAAAGAGGUGAUAAUUGUAGGUUAAGAGAGUCACCGGCGAUGAGAGUUGCUCCCUAAAGUGAGGUUUCUGGCACCUAAUUCACAUCCUAUUAUUUGGUUUAUGAUUGUUGCUUGGAUGCCUUGUUUCAGCACUCAACCAAUGUGUAUACACUUUACAUGCUGCACUUUAGUAUGUAUUUUCAUCACUGUAGGCAUUGCGGCGAUCAAAUAAAGUUUUUCCUACAUAUAAUUACAAAGUCAAUUAAGAGUUUUCACAAAUAAAUUAGUUUACGCGUCGAUAGUUGCUAAUGUGUUAGUACAUGUAAGCAUAUAAUUACUUUCCUUUAAAAACUAUGUAGACUUAAUUCUUUCUUGUUAUAAUAAAUGAUAAGUUGUUCGAGACAAAUAAGUAAACAAUGAUAGAACUAAACGUUAAAACUAGGGAACAAAAAAUUUUCAAAAGUUAAAUGCUUGAUAAGCUUUUUCUUUUUUUUUUUUUUUUUUUUUUUUUUUUUAAAUUGAGCUAGGAGGGGCUAGGUGCCUAGACAUCCGAGUCCCGGUGACAAGAUUUAAACAACUUUCAAGAUUUUAUUUAGAUGUAAGGUAAAGUUUAUUGAAGUGAGCGAAAUUUAUUAAAGUUGCGUAAUGGUAACUACAUGUAUGAUCUGAUGAUAGAUUCAGUUUCGAAUCUCCUUAUAUAUAUAAAUUAGGUAAGGUGAUAAUAAAUUUUAUGCUACCAUGAAUUUUCAAAAUAAAGUAAGAGUAUUUAUAUAUAUUUGAAAGAAAGGACACAUUGUGUUGUUUAGUUUAAAGUUAUUAAAGAGUAAGGUUAAAUAUAAUACCAAAAUACUCAAAUCAUCAAUUUUGUUAUUUUUAUUAUAUAAAUUUUUAUGGAAUAAAAAGUAAUUAAUCAUCCCCAAUUUCUCAAAUUUAGUGGGCUAAAAACUUUUGAGUGGUUUUUGACCCAUUAGAUAACCAUAAAAAAAUCCUACUACUCAUUAAAACUUUCAUCUCGAACGAUCCAAUAAUUUAAUUUUUUAUCAUUGUUUAUAUGUCCAAUGACGUUAUUCUAAAUUGGGAAUAAUAUUAAUUCAAAUACGAAAGCUUAAUUAAGAUCCGACUUUUUUGAUAUAAUAUUAAAUUUUAUGCCUUAAAGAACCUGAAUUUUUUUUUAUAUUAGCAAAGAAGAAUUUUUAAUUAAGAAUUAAGUAGAAAUAAAUAUAUGUUCAGAUAAAACUCAGCGAUCCAAGUUACUACACCCAAGUCAUCAGGCUUUUCUCAAUGCACUCUAUCUUAUUUUGGAAAUUAAGUAAAACCUGAAUCCAUAUCCAAUACAUAGCCCAAAAUACAAGUGACAGAAAAAUCAAAUUGACUUGUAUUAGACUAGUGCAUCAAAAUUAAUAACUAAUGUUUGAUAAGUUGAGUACUCUAUUGGAUUUGAUAAAAUUUUCCUUGAUUUUAUAAUUUAAUAAAAUAAAAUAUGAAGUGUUGACAAAAAAAAUACUAACAAAUGUUUAUAUUAUUUUGUAAUAAUAUUUUAAUAAGAAUCCAUUUAUUAAUUGAUAUCAGUUGUUAAAGUUUUUUAGAACUGUGAUAAUUUGAAAAUUGUUUGAAAAAUUCAGGGCAAGCAAAAUUGAUUGGCCAUAAAUAAAUUAUAUCAAUACCAGAAUGUAGCUAUCUUGAAGCACAAAAAUUCAGAGUAUAGUUAUUUUCAAGGUCUCAUUUUCUUACAUUUUCAAACCUAAUUUUAGGAAUUAAUAAGGAACCAGUUAAAUAAAACAAGGCAAAUUUCUACAGAAAUUUCUGUAAGGAAAAAUUUAAUUGUAUCUCUUCAUUAUAAUUCAACAAACAAAAUCGAAAAUAAAUUCUAGAUAAAAAAUGUACUUUCAGUAAUCGGUAAUAAUGCUUGAAAGAUAAUAAAUAUUUUCGGUGCAAUAAUUGAAAUUUAAAAUUUUCCUUGUGUAUAAAUAGCCAUGCAUUCCAUGCAAGAUUUUGUCAUCUCUUACCAAACAAAUAUCAUAAUACACAAGAAUUCUAAUUGUCACUCCUAAGUAUAACGAAAAUGGCUAAUUUGCUGAUAGCUCUUGGUGUUUUGGCUAUGGCUUCCUCAUUUGCCAUUGCCUAUGAUCCUAGCCCUCUCCAAGAUUUCUGCGUCGCAACUGAUGAUUCUGCUUCCGGCGGUAUGUACAUUUUGCUUUUCCUUUAUUUUAAUUUCCUUUUCUAGGAUUUAGUAUUUCAUUUUCAGACAGUUAGUUUGUCUCCCAUCAACUUCAUUAUUGAUGAAUAAUGUUAUGUUAAAGUUUCAUAAAUAAAAAUAGACAUGGGUCAGGGUGAGCAAAAUUUGGCUACUUCAGAUGUAUAUUAUAUUACAUUUGCCCAUAAAAGACUUAUGAUCUGAAUUUUGGUUUUAAGAUCACCUAGUAAGAUAAUUUAGUUUUGGCUUGGAAGAUGAUCCUAUAUUAACAUUUUAAUUUUUUGGUGCUUUUAGUAUUCGUAAAUGGAAAAUUCUGCAAGGAUCCAGAAACGGUAACACCAGAUGACUUUUCUUAUACUGGAUUCAACAUUCCUAGAGAAACCUCACAACAGCUUGGAGUUCGCACAAAUCUCUUAACUGUGAACGACAUUCCUGGCCUUAACACAAAUGGUCUGUCCAUAGUUCGUAUUGACUUCACACCUGGAGGUGUAAAUCCACCUCACAACCAUCCUCGAGCUGCAGAAAUUAUCACUGUCUUGGAAGGAACUCUAUAUGCAGGUUUUAUCACUUCGAAUCCCGAUCACCGCCUUUUCGCCAAGGUUUUGAAGCCAGGGGAUGUUUUUGUAUUCCCAUUUGGGCUUAUUCACUUCCAAAUGAACAUUGGAAAAACCCCAGCAGUUGCUAUGGCUGCAUUGAACAGUCAGAAUCCAGGAGUAGUGACCUUAGCAAAUACAAUAUUUGGUGCAAUUCCAUCUGUUAAUCUUGAUCUUCUUGCAAGAGCAUUCCAUUCGGACAAGAAUAUAGUAGGUGAUCUUACAAAGCAAGAAUGGGUCAAUCCAUCUGACCUUAACAUCUAUUAAGAUUAUUGAUAUUAUGCAAGCAAAUAUAUAAUUUUUGCCCUCAUUUAAAUUGUUUAAUUUCAAUAACAUAUAAAGAAGAAGAUAAUAAGGGUGAGGAUGCUUAAUG